CAUUUCUGAGAAAAAAGGCAGUCGAAUUCAAUGAAGCAGUCGAAUUUGUAGAAAAAAUCAAGGCCACAUGUCAAGAUCGUGAUGAUGAUGAUGUGUACAAAGCUAUCAUUGACCUUUUAGAUAUGUACAAAAUGGGCAGAAAGUCCGCAAAGGAGGUUUAUAGUGAAAUCUCAGUUCUUUUCGCGGACUAUGUUGAAUUUAUUAUAGAGUUUGCUCAUUUUUUACCCUGUCUUUUGGGGACGGCAAGUGUUGAGCUUCCACGGCCUUAUAGGAAUACCAUCCCAUAUGGGGAGGGUAGAGAUUCCUCCAAUUAUUAAAGUUGCACUCCAAGUUAUCGACUUCUACCUCGCGAUAUUGUGAUCCCUACGUGAAAGAACAAAGAUUGGCGAUGAGGUUUUGAAUGAUAAUUGGAUGUGUGUUGCUUCAGAAGAAAGUAAGGAUUAUUCUUCCAAACACAUGCUCAAAAAUCCCUACGAAGAAAAACUUGUUUAAAUGUGAAGAUGCGAGGUUUGAAUUGGAUGUGUUGAUGGAAUCAGCCAAGACAGCAGCUAAUCGUGUUGAGAGACUGUUGAACAAUAUUGAAAGUCAUAAAAAUUAAAUUAGAUGAUUGAUUCCGUAUUGAAGAUCAUUUAAAAGCUCAAGAUCUACGGUGCAUUGAGCUUUUAUAUGGUGAACACGGGUUUGAAGUACUCGAGAGAUCAAUAAAGAGUGUUGACUUUUCACUACCGAUUAUGUUAAAUCGGUUGAAGCAGAGAUUGAUUGAAUGGACAAAUUGCCAUGCCAAAUUGAAUAUUGUUCGGAAAGAGAUUAAUGCGAAGAGCUACCCCAAACCUCUUGACUAUAGAAGCUUCUAUUUCAAGCAGCAGAAAGAUAUUAACGACUUUAGUCCUAAAAGUAAAUAGGUUCGAUUGAUUAUUUUCAUGUCUUACAUUGGUAAUUAGGUUUGAUUGAUGUUUAUGCAUUUUUUUUGUUUACCUUGUCUUUAUUUUACUCUUUUUGAACUGUACACACUACACAUUCAGUAAGACUGCAAAAAUAAUGUGUCAGUGCAUCAUCUGUAGCUUGAUUAAGAUGAAAGAUUACAGACAUCCUCGGGUGAAUGUGCUAUGGACAAUUCAAUGGUGUUUUUGGAUUACCUUUGAAAUAAUGUCUCUGUAGCUGCUCAAUUCAAU